UUUCUUUUUCUUUUCUUUUCAUGACAGUUUGGGCAAAUCACCUCAUAGAGAGUUACACUAACUUUUUAUUUGCAUGUAUUUAUAUUUUUAUUUCCCUUGACCAAUGCAAAUUUAGAGAUUCAAUUCAAGAAAAAAACUUCUAAAGUGAAGGUAGCACACUAUAAUUGAUUCAAUUUAGGCUUAAAGGGGUGGAAAAUCAAUGGGGUCAUGAGAUAGGAAGCUCUUUUAACCUUGUUAUCUAUGCUGAGUAGAGCAAAAGCUAAGUCAAAAUUCUGUGUGUGUGUGUGUGCAAAAAGUGAAAAAUGUGUGAAAAAAUUUUGGUGUGUGUUUAUAGGGCAAAAAGAUGCAAAAAGAAACAAAAAGAAAGCAAAAAGAUAAUGUAAACGAAAAAAAAAUAUAACCUAACAGUAAAUACCCCCACACCUAUCCCAAACAUUGUCCUCAAUGGUUAAACAUUUAUAUGAAAAAAUUAAUAAGGAGAAGGAAAGGGACUGCCUGAUCUGUGGGCGAUUUGGCCAGUAAUUUGGGCAAAUCACUCGCCAAAUCACUGUCUGUCAUGGUGGUGGGGCAGAAAAUGGUCCACCAGCAGCUGCAGCAUGCUUUCCAUGUGCUGCAUCCUGUCUUCGAUUCUAGUGAGAUGAGCCUCCACCGAAUGGUCUUGAGGUGCCUUUUAUGUCCUCCAAGGUCCACCCAAUUGCUUCUUUGUGCUUCCUCAACACUUCUAGGAGUUUUUCUUCUUCUUGUGGGCUGAGCUGGUUGGAAAUUAUAGCUGGAAGUGUAUUUUCAGCUCCCAAGAAGGCAUAUUUGAGGUGUUCUGGUAAGGGCUUCAGAUCUGGUGCAUUUGCUGUCUGCUGGUUUGCUGUCUACUGUCUGCUGGUUGAUUUGAGCAGAUCAUCUGGUG
rnacentral:lncRNA from 1 species